UCUGCUGUGAAAUCCGGGGCUCAACCCCGGACUUGCAGUGGGACGGGCAGACUAGAGUAUGGUAGGGGAGACUGGAAUUCCUGGUGUAGCGGUGAAAUGCGCAGAUAUCAGGAGGAACACCGAUGGCGAAGGCAGGUCUCUGGGCCAUUACUGACGCUGAGAAGCGAAAGCAUGGGGAGCGAACAGGAUUAGAUACCCUGGUAGUCCAUGCCGUAAACGUUGGGAACUAGGUGUGGGUCUCAUUCCACGAGAUCCGUGCCGCAGCUAACGCAUUAAGUUCCCCGCCUGGGGAGUACGGCCGCAAGGCUAAAACUCAAAGGAAUUGACGGGGGCCCGCACAAGCGGCGGAGCAUGCGGAUUAAUUCGAUGCAACGCGAAGAACCUUACCAAGGCUUGACAUAUACCGGAAACAUUCAGAGAUGAGUGCCCCUUUUUGGUCGGUAUACAGGUGGUGCAUGGUUGUCGUCAGCUCGUGUCGUGAGAUGUUGGGUUAAGUCCCGCAACGAGCGCAACCCUCGUUCUAUGUUGCCAGCACGUAAUGGUGGGGACUCAUGGAAGACUGCCGGGGUCAACUCGGAGGAAGGUGGGGAUGACGUCAAAUCAUCAUGCCCCUUAUGUCUUGGGCUUCACGCAUGCUACAAUGGCCGGUACAAAGGGCUGCGAUACCGCAAGGUGGAGCGAAUCCCAAAAAACCGGUCUCAGUUCGGAUUGGGGUCUGCAACUCGACCCCAUGAA
rnacentral:rRNA from 1 species